GGAGGAUCCUCACUGUUGGUGGAUGCAGGCACGUCCCUGCUGCAGACCUGGCUGGUGGUGGGACAGGAGAUGGGGACACCCGCAGAAACAUCACUGAAAGCCCAGAUCAAAAAAGCAACCCCAAGUGUGCUCUAGGAAUGACAUCCUCUGGAACAGGACCUUUCCUGAGGGAAAUAAUGCUUGGAGGAGGUUGCUGGCCUGGGGCAAAGCUUCCAGCAUUCAGAUUUUCCUACCAGUCAUCAACUUCCAGGGUGAGAUGUCCUACUGCCUUAGCACUUACUGAUGUUGACUGGCAGCUAAAGAGAUAUCUUCAAAAAGAAGAGAAUGAAGUACUUGAAAAUAUCACAUUGCUGUUUGAAAAAAUAACGGUUUUAUUAUUGAAAAGGACGGCACUAAAUGAAACCGACUGGUUGGUAAACUGGGUCAUGUAAACCUACUCUUCUUGUAAGUACUAUGGUGUACUGGCUUACUGGCUGGUAAACUGGGUCUUAAACCUACUCUUCUUAUCAUCUUAAGAAAUACGCAAACUGCUCUCUCAGCUAACGCAUCUCCCUGCUGAAAAUGAAGUAUGCUACCUGGGCAUGGUCAGACAGCUUUCCAGUACCUACUGUUUAGACAAGUUUCAUUUGCCUGUAAGUAGGAUCCAGGAUAAAUUAAAGUUACUGAGAAAGUAUCACUCUAUGUGGCUUGAACAAACACUGGUCUUGAGAAAACCUGGAGAGAUUAAAUUCAGCCCGAAACAGACAGUGAGAUGGAAAAACUUUUGAUUAAUCUGAUGGUCACGUGAAUUACUUUUGAGUUUAUGCUUGGGAGCCUAAUUUCCUUUAAAGUGUUUCAUUUGAUAGCUUCUGAUUCACAACUCAGUGACAGCUACAUACAUUUAUCAACAAUUAUAAUCCAGCUUCUCCAAUGCGCUUCUGGUCCUGAAGCUGAAAGCCAUCAUGCUGGUAGAGAAGAAAGCUGUCUUUGGAGAAAUCAGGGUUGGGCUGUAGUUAUUUAGGAAACAUAACCUGCUCACAUAAUGUGGAGUGAGCUUUGGCCUGCACCAAUAUUCGUUUUGUAUUUAGGGUUGUGUGGCUAUGGUGUACUCAAAUACUUACCAUAUCGUGCAAACAGGGAUAAACAGUCAGGCAACAUUAGGGGCAGCAUUAAUUGGAUCAUCUGGUGUAUAGCUUACUGAGUGUGACCCUCUGUCAGAUCCACAAUUCCCCAAAAGAGUAAAAAUGUCAAAAGGGUAAGUCAAAAGAGAGAUCCUUUUUAUAAUCAUAUGGAGGGGAACAGAAACUGCCUAGGCUCCUUAGAGGAUCUAUAUCUGCCUGUCCCGAGAUCGGCCUUAUGAAGUUUUAGAAUCUUUAGAUAUAACGUUACCCAAGAAUUAUGUCAACAGUACCAACUGUUUCUUUAUUAUUUCUUUAUACCAACACAGCAGCUCUGAGAAAUGAAAAUCUUGACUGUUAAGAAUAUUAAUAUCUAGGAGCUUGGCAUUUCAUGUACA